rnacentral:rRNA from 1 species
UACGGAGGGGGCUAGCGUUGUUCGGAAUUACUGGGCGUAAAGCGCACGUAGGCGGUUCGUUAUGUCGGAUGUGAAAGCCCUUGGCUUAACCGAGGAAGUGCAUCCGAAACUGGCGAGCUAGAGUACGAAAGAGGAUCGCGGAAUUCCCGGUGUAGAGGUGAAAUUCGUAGAUAUCGGGAGGAACACCGGUGGCGAAGGCGGCGAUCUGGGUCGAUACUGACGCUGAGGCGCGAAAGCGUGGGGAGCAAACAGG